AACCCUUACCUACCUCUUGACAUGGAAGGAAUCCUUGAGAGAUUGAGGAGUGCCCGAAAGGGAACCUUUACACAGGUGCUGCAUGGCUGUCGUCAGUCUCGUGUCGUGAGAUGUUGGGUUAAGUCCCGCAACGAGUCGCAACCCUUGUCAUUAGUUUGUCUACGAAAGGGCACUCUAAUGAGACUGCCGGUGACAAACCGGAGGAAGGUGGGGAUGACGUCAAGUCCUCAUGGCCCUUAUGGGUAGGGCUUCACACGUCAUACAAUGGUACAUACAGAGGGCCGCCAACCCGCGAGGGGGAGCUAAUCCCAGUAAAGUGUAUCGUAGUCCGGAUUGUAGUCUGCAACUCGACUGCAUGAAGUUGAGAAUCGUCUA
rnacentral:rRNA from 1 species